GCCAAUACUAGCCCUAAGCACAACCAAUACUAAUACCAAACCAACACGCACACACCAAACCAUUCACCUACACAAAGUAUAGGCGAUAGAAAUUUUAACCUGGCGCUAUAGAUACAGUACCGUAAGGGAAAGAUAGAAAACCACCCAAGCACAAAACAGCAAGGACUAACUCCUGUACCUUUCGCAUAAUGAAUUAGCUAGAAACAAUUUCACAAAGAGGACUACAAGCUAAAUUCCCCGAAACCAGACGAGCUACCCAAAAACAGCUAAAAGAGCACACCCAUCUAUGUGGCAAAAUAGUGGGAAGAUUUCUGGGUAGAGGUGACAAGCCUACCGAGCCUGGUGAUAGCUGGUUAUCCAAGACAGAAUCUUAGUUCAACCUUAAGCUUACCUACAGAACUACCUAAUCCCCCUGUAAACUUAAUUGCUAGUCUAAAGAGGGACAGCUCUUUAGACACUAGGAAAAAACCUUAUAGAGAGAGUAAAACCCUCAAUUAUCAUAGUUGGCUUAAAAGCAGCCAUCAAUUAAGAAAGCGUUCAAGCUCAACACCAAUCACCCCAAAAAUACCAAACACACAACUGAACUCCUCACACCACAUUGGAUUAAUCUAUCACCAUAUAGAAGCAAUAAUGCUAGUAUAAGUAACAUGAAUAUUUUCUCCACUGCAUAAGCCUAAAUCGGACCGAAAGCCUCACCGAUACCUAACAGCCAGGCAUAGCAAGCACAAACAAGCCCAUGCUACCUCCACUGUUAACCCAACACAGGCAUGCCUCAAGGAAAGGUUAAAAAAAGUAAAAGGAACUCGGCAAACUCAAACCCCGCCUGUUUACCAAAAACAUCACCUCUAGCAUUACUAGUAUUAGAGGCACUGCCUGCCCAGUGACACACGUUCAACGGCCGCGGUACCCUGAC
rnacentral:rRNA from 1 species